CCCUAUGCACUAUUCUCUUUAGUACGAAGGGACCAAGGAAAAUAGGACCAAUAUUCAAAACAAGUCCUCACCCUUGCUGAAACAAUAUCAAGCCUCCAGUAUCUCAUUAUCCAAAAACAGGAC
rnacentral:rRNA from 1 species